ACAACAUUCGAACCGUCGGUCUACCCAGCAAUAACAUACGCUUGGUUGAAGAUCUUCCCUUCGUCGU
rnacentral:pre_miRNA from 1 species